AACGCAAAUUGCGAUCGAGGAUUCGGCCAAGAGCAUGUCUGCCUCAGCGUCGGGUUAAUACUCAUAUAUACUAAUAUGUAUUAUUAUAAUAAUAUGUAUGUGUCUGUAUGGAUCUGGCCGUCUCGGUUUGCCUAGUAAUAAGUAAAACGGGUUGGCUGAAGUGCAGAUGUCAAACCAUGGACCGUUAAUCGGGCCUCUACUGGGUAGUCAACUCGUUUGCUAUAUUGCUUUAGUAGAUUGCCUCGGGUACUGCGUUUUGCACAAAGCAAGAGUAUCUGACUUGUCAUGUACAACCCAAUUUAUUUCCUCGACCUGAGCUCAGUCAAGAUUACCCGCUGCACUU
rnacentral:misc_RNA from 1 species